UCUGGAUCUACUAUCCGGACCGUUCCCUGCUGAAGACUCGACGUCGGCAUCUGGGCUAUCCGCACCUCCACAGCCACCGUCGCCGACACCAUCAGCACAGCCAGCAACCACAGACAAGCCGCGGACAUCGCCCCGGAUACCAAAACAAAAAGAAAGAAAUACUUGUGUGUGUGUGUGUGUGUGUGCAUGAAAAGAUCACCCGGAACCCGGAAAUCAGACACGACCGGGAAGUCAUCCGGACCCUGUGGAUGCUGAUCAUUCAUUGAACUCCAACUGUUCAACGACGAUCAGUCAGAGGUCGAAGGAGUAGGGCACCCGCUCGUUGAUUCUUUAACUCACCAGACGCCUCAGCUGAUAGGAGAUACAAAGACAACGAGCACGCCACACCUUCUACCUGUCGCUUCAACACCAACACCAACACCAACGUUUG